CAGUCUGCCUGUUGCCAUCGAACGUUCACACUUUUUUAACACUUAAUCCGGUGAACAUUUCGUGAAAAGUGCCGAUUUAAGGUUUUCACACAUUCCAUACAGCAUUUUUGGAUUUUAGAAGGGGGUUGAACCGCUUUGAACUUCAUGUUGCGUGUUCACAAGGUGGAGGAUUAAAUGAGAAGCCGGAAGUGGAGACGGAAGUGAAGCGAGGAGGAAAGGAAAGAGGAACGAAACGAAAGCCGGAAGAGGAAGGAGGAUAAAUCACGGAGGUGCUCAAAGAUCGGCACAUGUACCGAGUGCAUGGAGUGCAUCGAGAAACAGAAAGAGAGAGUCCCAGAAAAAGGAGGAGGAGGUUUAAUAUCCUGCAGGAUCCAGCCAGGAGACAUUAAUGUACGCAAGCCUGCCAAAAGGAAAUGACAAAAGGAGACGAAGGACUCUCGUUCGAUA